rnacentral:lncRNA from 1 species
CAAGUUUGCUCCUCGCUGCGCCCGCUGCAGCAAGACGCUGACACAGGGUGGAGUGACAUACCGUGAUCAGCCGUGGCAUCGAGAAUGUCUGGUCUGUACCGGAUGCCAGACGCCCCUGGCAGGGCAGCAGUUCACCUCCCGGGAUGAAGAUCCCUACUGUGUGGCCUGUUUUGGAGAACUCUUUGCACCUAAGUGCAGCAGCUGCAAGCGCCCCAUCGUAGGACUCGGUGGAGGCAAGUAUGUGUCCUUUGAAGACCGACACUGGCACCACAACUGCUUCUCCUGCGCCCGCUGCUCUACCUCCCUGGUGGGCCAGGGCUUCGUACCGGAUGGAGACCAAGUGCUCUGCCAGGGCUGUAGCCAGGCAGGGCCCUAAGCCAGGGCUCCUGGACCCAGGCUUUCCCAUACCACGGGCCCAGGACUGUGGCUCCUUUUCUAAACCACCUCUGGGACUCAGCUCCCCCCGCCAAAAAAAAUGGGUCUCCUUCUGGGCUCCAGGAUUGUCUCCCCACUCCAGCAUCCCCAAACUGGUACUCCCUGACCCAGGGCCCCAAACCUGGGCUCUUACAGAGCCUCCAUGAGUCAAGCCCCCUCCCCACACCUGGACUCCAGAAUUCACCCUCUCCCCUGCAGUCUGGGUUCCCAGACUGAGUCCUCUCCCCAAAUCAGGGCUCUAGACCCGAGCCCUCCAAACCUGGACUCUGGGACUUAGGCCCCCUUAAAUCUAGACUUCUCUUUAUAGGUUUCAGGUCUCCUAUGGGUGCCUGGGAAGUCCUUGAAAGUGGACUGUUCUCAGGCUUGACCUGCCCCACCCCAUCCCCGCGGUUGAGGCUGUGGGGGCAGCAGAUCAGGAGCCCACUGAUAAGGGGCCCUAGGGUACAGGGUGCUGCCCAGCAGGUCGCCACCGAGUGUCUUCUCAUUUUAUUUCAGCUCCAUUUUGCCCAUAGAUGGGCAGAGGGGUGAGAUUGGCUCAUCCCCCUUCCAGAUUCUGCAAUAAAGCGGUGUGAGGAAGCA